AGCAGCACUAGUGGAUUUAUAUGGACUACUCCUUACAUGUUAAUUAAGGGGCAGGUUAUUCAUGAACUUUGGAAAAGGAGCAGGAAUUGUUGAAACCAUAGAAGGCAACUUUCGGGUUGUUUGUCAUGGCAUUUGUAAACUGCCAUGGUGCUGGUGGGAGGGUCUUAAGCAAAUGCAUUAUAAUUCCUAGUCCAAGCUGGUUUGGGCCAGUUUUUUUUUUUUUUUUUUUUUGCCAUAUACCGUUCUCAUCAGCAGGGUCGUGACCAAGCUCAGAAAACAAGUCCUAUUGAUCUCCUACCUCGGUUUCUUAUAGGAAGUUUAGGUUGUUGGAUUUGAUACUAGUUUAAUUAAUCACUUCAUUUUUUAUAAUUGGGGUUUACCACUCCUUAUGUCACAACAUAUUUAAUAUUAGUAAAAACAAAUUAUCUAAGGACAGAUAUCUUAACUUCUUGGUUUUCCAGAGUUAUUUAUCCUACAUGCAAUUAUUAGGCUCCUAAAAUUUACCAAGUAUGGUGUUUAAUUUCAUAUAGUAGCAAGGAAAAUUGUACUUAAAACCCAAAUACAGUAUAAGGUGAUAAGAGCCCCAAAUGUCAUACAGACAAGAUGCAGUGGCAACUUAGAAGCAGGAAAUGCUAUUUGGAAUUAGAAAGGUAGAAAAAUGCUGGUUUGAAUGAAAAAAAAAUAGUAUCUAGAUAUGCUUUCAUGAAGAAAUUGGCAUUGGAAUUAAAGAAUGUAAAGAAGAAUGCUAUGGGAUUUGACAAGAAAGAGUGGAAAAGCAUGCCAAUUGAAAACAAGAGCAGGAACACCAGCAUUGAUUUUCAUCACCUCGGACACUUAUGAUUUCUCUGUGAGAGCUACAGAAGAACAACAUGGCAGAGUGGAAACAGUAUGAGUCUUGAGGACCCUUUUGGUAGCUGUCCCAUGAGAACUCAUCUUAGACACUACCAUCAACAACUCCUGUUUCCCUUCAUCAUAUUUGUGCUGCAAUAAGGUGGAAGUGGCGGCAGUAGCAGCAGAGCUAGGACAUCCACAUGAUGGAGAUGAGUCACAUCACUGCUUUCUUCUGCAGGAUCCCAGAGCACAGCACAGCACAUUAUGGG
rnacentral:lncRNA from 10 species